UUAAGCAUAGUUUCAUGUACUUAAAAAGAAAUCAUGUUUGCUAUUUUGGAAAAAGAACGAGUUUCUCAUUUAUCAUCCAUCCUAAAGGAAGUAGCAUGACUGUUUUUCCUUCUUAUUGAUAAGAAGGAAAGCAUUUAAUGCUUAGGUCCAAAACCAAGGAUUAUAUUCAAGUACCUAUGGUCAAAUAUUUUAUUUCAAUAAAAAAAAAUUAGAAUAGUUUCCGUUGCAAGCAAUGAGUAAAAAUGGACUUAACAGUAAGGAUAUUUAAUGACCUCGUAAAAAAAUCCGGAGGUAGGCAGUUCUGGGGAUGUGUAAUUUAUCCGUUCCAUGCCGGCCGACUCCAGGCUGGCUGCUGUGUUUUCUGACUUCUCCACCAUCCUGAUGCAAUAUCUCCAUGCAGCACGUCUGGGAACCAACCAAACACCCCUCCCAAAACCCUUUUUCCCUGUCGCUUUCUGCUGUGGGUGAGUCAUGUCCUCUCAUGAGAUAUGUUGAAAUCCUGCCCCAGGGCUUCAGAGUGUGAUCUUACUGGCAAGCAGAGUCUUUGCAGGUGUCAUCAAGUUAAGAUGAGGUAAUGCUGGGUUGCAAUGGGCCCUAAUCCAGUGACUGGGGUCCUUUGAAGAAGAGACACAGAGAGGGACAAAGACACAGCGUCUUGUGAUAAUACAGCCCAAGACUGGAGUGAUGUGUCUACAAACCAAGGAGUACCAGCAACACCAGUAGCUGGGGGAGAGGCUAUCCUUUUAUGGCUUAAGAGUUGAAACGAUUUCUUAUUGAAGUGCAUCUUAAUAAGAAGUAAAUUGAUUUAAAGUGUUCAAGCAAAUUGAUUUAAAGUGAAGAGUGAAUGAGGACUCUUCACUCUCAGCCCCUUGGGCUGAAGGGCAAGGUCCUCACAGCCUCCAGAAAGGAGCAACCCCAGGACACCUUGAUUUUGGACUGGCAGUUCACCUUCAUCUCUGCCUGAUUCUGCCCUUUGUCCCGGAAGCUCUGAACCCUCCCUUCUUCUCCAGACCUCACUAACUCAUUUGGGCUAUCUCUGGGUGCCUGGCUUAGCAUUUUAUAGUCAGCUUUUUAAAAGAAAUCAAAGCUAGCAUAUCGAGGGUUAACUUGCUUUCGUGAGAUUAAGAUUUUUGUUUUCAUACACAAGAAAAAUGAGAUUUCUCUGGUGCUGGCAACUUCAGUAAUCAAAGAGAACCUUAAGAAAACUGAGCAUUGCAAAGGGAAGAGGGAAAUCAUGAAUUUGAACUGAGUCCACUCAACCAAACAUUUUAUUAUGAAGAUUUACAAACAGAUGGCACAGCUAAAGGAAUUUGCAUGGUCAGCACCUGCGUCCACACCUCGGUUAACACGUGGCAGUACUCGCUUUGUGGUAGCUCUUUCCACCCCUCUCCCCAUCUGAGAAUUAGUUUUUUAAUUAGAUGAUUGCCAAAUUGCCCUGGGGACUCUCUGUAGGGAAAGUGUAGAGCAGAGUCUGAGUGCCUCCUUUCCAAGUUCAUCAGCCCUUUGUAGAUAGAAGCCCUUUGUACUUGGAUUUAUAAGAAGAAACACAUACUUGGUCUUUGCCCCAUUUCUGGCUGAGAUCCUGAGACCCUUGGGAUUUCCUAAGUGCUGCAAACUAUAAAGGUGUUUUGAUAGCCAGAACAGACCACACCUGAGGUUACCUUAAUGAGGUGAUUUUUGGAAAUCAGUUAAAGAUAGGGCUGGUUGCCAGGGGAAACAGCCCUGUGAUUGGAGGGUUGGAAAUCUCAGUCCCACCCCCUACACUUCCAGGGGGCGGGAGGGGCUAGAGGUUGCCUCUGGUGCCAGGGGCCAGUGGUUUAAUCAACCAUGCCUCAGUAACGAAGCCACCAUAAAAACCCAAAACACAGGGGCUCAGAAGGCAUCCCGGCUGGUGAAGACAGUCAUGUCAGGGAGAGUGGUGUGCCUGCACCUCUUCCUCCACCCUGCCCCAUGCAGCUCUUCCAUCCAGAUGCCAUCUACUUGGUAUUUGCACUGCUGCUUGAGAGAGAAGGCAGCAGCUGAGUGCAUUGUCAGAGGCCUGGUUGACACUGGAAGAUGGUUCAGGGCACAGUUGAUGCUGUGCACUUGUUCCCAAGGCUCCUGCUCUCGGUACCUGUUCCAAUGGGCCUGCAGAACAUGGCGCUGGAAAUGAUGGAAGCAGCUACACAGGGUUUAAGAGCAUCACUACUCAGCUCUUCCCACCCUAAGCUCUUUCAGAACUUGAUCUUUGGACCUGAUUAUGGAAGGGGGCCCCUUGUUCCUGGGGGACAUAUGUGACCUCUCGAAGAAUAAAGUGCCAUGACCCCGCCGCAUAUCCCCAGGGGUCGAGGGAGGGUUCCUAGGACGACGCUAACAGAGUACGAUGUUAACAACCCCAGGUUGCUUGUGAAAUGCCUCCAAGUGGAUGUCUGCGGUCUGGCUCAUUCGAUCUGCUUCUGUACACCCCAUGGAUUUCAGCCCGGCUCCCGUGGGUGGACGUCUGUGUCGUCCUCUGGACAAGCAGAGCUGCAAGCACCGUCCCCACCCACGGCUGCAUGAGCACCCGAGACAAUGGCCCACAGGGCCAAUGGCUUUCUGGGACAUGCCUUCCUCAAGACCAGAAUUGGAGCACAAGAGGACAAGUCAAACCACAAAAGCGGACGAAAAGACUCUGGUCACAUGCGGCAUGUUUCGUCCACUUAUGGUCCACUGGUCAAAGCAGG